UACGUAGGGUGCGAGCGUUGUCCGGAAUUAUUGGGCGUAAAGGGCUCGUAGGCGGUUUGUCGCGUCAGGAGUGAAAUCUUACAGCUUAACUGUGAGCUUGCUUUUGAUACGGGCAGACUUGAGGCAUGCAGGGGAGAACGGAAUUCCUGGUGUAGCGGUGAAAUGCGCAGAUAUCAGGAGGAACACCGGUGGCGAAGGCGGUUCUCUGGGCAUGUUCUGACGCUGAGGAGCGAAAGUGUGGGGAGCGAACAGG
rnacentral:rRNA from 1 species